CAGUCGCCACGGAAAACGUAGGGUGCAAGCGUUAAUCGGAAUUACUGGGCGUAAAGCGUGCGCAGGCGAUUAUAUAAGUCAGAUGUGAAAUCCCCGGGCUCAACCUGGGAACUGCAUUUGAGACUGUAUGGCUAGAGUGUGUCAGAGGGGGGUAGAAUUCCACGUGUAGCAGUGAAAUGCGUAGAGAUCUGGAGGAAUACCGGUGGCGAAGGCGGCCCCCUGGACAAAGACUGACGCUCAGGUGCGAAAGCGUGGGGAGCAAACAGGAUUAGAUACCCGCGUAGUCCCUGUCUCUUAUACA
rnacentral:rRNA from 1 species